rnacentral:lncRNA from 1 species
CCGCGACUCUUUGUAACUCACAUUCAAUCACUCGUAACGUAUUUCCUUAAAUACGGAUCGUGCAAAGGCUAUAAAGACCAAGGUCUUCACCACCGAGUUACCGGUACACAACCUCAACGCUUCACUUUCUCAUCUUGACACCGCAACCCACUGGAGAUACAAGAACGCCACUGCACCGGAGCACCAUUCUAAACAUCCCAAACACUCUUUCUGUUCAUCAAUUCGCUGGAGCAAGAGGAAUCACCGGAGCCGCACGUUACACCGGAGCUCCAACUAAACCGCCAGGAAGUACAUAACGGUGUCGAAGACAACCGGAUUUUCGACAGAAACCACUUCACUCGAUUACCUUUUCGCGUAACCCGCAAGCCACGCCUGAGGAAGCAGACGCGGCUGGAAAACACGAGUACGUCGCCGGAGUAACGGACCUCGUCGGAAAAUAUCGAGAAUCAAGCCACCCGUUUCGUUCUACGAUGGAUGAGGAAGUCAAGAUUUGAAGAAAUGAAUAGGAUGGCCUAGAAACCCACUUUUGAAAUAAACUAUGUUUAAUGUUUGUUAUUUCCUUUUAUGACAAUGUAUGAAACUUUGCAAUUUUAAUAAAUGAAAUUUAAUUAUAUUGUC